CCUCUCGAUGAAGAGGAGAUGGUUUCGUAUAUCCUGACCGGCCUCGACUACGACCACAAUCCUCUCGUGACUUCUCUUGUGUCGUAGGUGGAACCAAUCUUUGUCGCCGAGCUUUAUACCCAGCUGCUAAACUUUGAGC